ACCAGUAUGGUGCAGUGGUUUGAGCAUUGGACUAGGACUCUGGAGACCAGGGUUCAAUUCCCAGCUCAGCCA